rnacentral:rRNA from 1 species
GACGGAGGGGGCUAGCGUUGUUCGGAAUUACUGGGCGUAAAGCGCGUGUAGGCGGGCCGUUAAGUCGGGGGUGAAAGCCCAGAGCUCAACUCUGGAAUUGCCUUCGAUACUGGCGGCCUGGAGCAUGAUAGAGGCGAGUGGAAUUGCGAGUGUAGAGGUGAAAUUCGUAGAUAUUCGCAGGAACACCAGUGGCGGAGGCGACUCGCUGGAUCAUUGCUGAAGCUGAGACGCGAAAGCGUGGGGAGCAAACAGG